UACGAAGGGGGCUAGCGUUGCUCGGAAUCACUGGGCGUAAAGGGCGCGUAGGCGGCGUUUUUAAGUCGGGGGUGAAAGCCUGUGGCUCAACCACAGAAUGGCCUCGAUACUGGGACGCUUGAGUAUGGUAGAGGUUGGUGGAACUGCGAGUGUAGAGGUGAAAAUUCGUAGAUAUUCGCAAGAACACCGGUGGCGAAGGCGGCCAACUGGACCAUUACUGACGCUAAGGCGCGAAAAGCGUGGGGGAGCAAACAGGGA
rnacentral:rRNA from 1 species